UGCUGGACCUCAAUAAGCCCCCGAGAAGUCUGCAUAACAGAUUUACCACUGCUUGAUUUGAUCGCUUGCUGUUCAGUAUCACCAACAAGUAAUUUGCGAUCCCACUGAUUUCAUUCAUUAAGUGCUACAGAGGGGGGGCAUUAAUCGGCAAGUGAUACAUCAAGGGACUGGAUUUUCCCCCAUCAACCUUCCUGCUGCUGAUUAGUCUCCAAGGGCGACUGGUGAUUCAUUAGUCAAACUGAGAUCAGCAGGAGGCAGCCAGUCCUGCAUAUUUCAGACAUUUCCCUGCACCAAAGCACCUGAUUCAAAUGAUGAUCAUCAAGCUCUGCUGAAGCCUCAGAACAACCCAGUUAUAUGAAUCAGGUGUGCCGGGGCAAGGAAACAGCUUCGGCUCCGUCCACAUGGUGAAGUGUUUAUGUCUGGACGGACAGAAACUGGAAACGAUGACAAGGCCACCCACGUUUAUCAGUGUAUACAGCAUCACUG